rnacentral:tRNA from 1 species
GGGCGUGUAGCUCAAUUGGUUAGAGCUCUGAGCUUAUACCUCAGCGGUUCCAGGUUCGAGUCCUGGCACGCCCACUA